CUCUUGAGCUCUUGUGGUGACCUGGGAAUCAAUGUGUGAGGUGGUGCUAUGUAGCAGGAACCCCUCUUGCUUUGCAAAUAGUUUUUUGUUUGUUUUCCUUUUUGCCCAAUAGAGCCCUGCUCUACUGACCCUUCAAUGUGCCCGUGUGCCUAAAUAUUCCUGGUCGUGUGAAAAGAACCCAGGUAUUAGCUGAACUAAGGAGCACAAUUCUGCAACAUUUUGGCACCCAAACACGGGGCUUGAGAAAUGAAUGCAAUUGGAGAAACUGGUUGUUUUACCAGGCGUUGAUUGGAAAUGUGUGCUUCCCUUUAAGCAGUCAAGCUCAACUUGCAGAACUGAUGGGAACCCCUUGGGAAAACUGGCCUCAAAUGUUUGUCUACACAGUCCACAUACAGGGUUCUUAACCUGCGGAAACACUUUCUGAAAAUGUCAGAACUCUUGAAAACAUGGAUGAGGAAAAGCAUAAGUACUGCUUUAUGCUUUUCUUAUGAAUUUUAAAAGAUGUAAUUUAAAGAUUGAAACUCCCACAACUUUGGCAGACCAACUCCUCAGAAAACAUUAUUCUUUGACAUCAAUAUGUUUUGCACAAAAUUGAAUGGCAAGUGAAAGGCAUCAAAUGCAUAUUUAACUAUCCGGCUAUUUUGGAGAUUGAAAAAAGAAGACCUGAUUUAUCAUGUGCAAUAUCUCACACAUCUGUCAUUUCUAUUCUACCGCAAUUCGAUGGAGUCUUGUUCUGUGGUCCAGGCUAGAGGGCAGUGGCAUGAUCUCGGCUCACUACAAGCUCUGCCUCCCGGGUUCACGCCAUUCUCCUGCCUCAGCCUCCUGAGUAGCUGGGACUACAGGCGCCCGCCACCACGCCUGGCUAAUUUUUUGUAUAUUUACUAGAGAUGGCUAGUGUUAGCCAAGAUGGUCUCGAUCUCCUGACCUCGUGAUCUGCCCACCUCAGCCUGCCAAAGUGCUGGGAUUACUGGCGUGAGCCACCGUGCCUGGCCAGCAUCCUCUAAUUAUUAUUCAUAGUUUGUGAAUUUAGGCCUACGUGAAUAAUAAUAUAAUAUUUACUAUGAUGUUACUAUCUACCAACCUUAUUUUUCUUUUCUAUAAAAUAGGAGCCAAAAUAAUAUUUAUGUCAUACCUUAUGAAGUUAAAAUAAAAUAUAACGAAUGAGGGGCUUAACAAU
rnacentral:lncRNA from 1 species